CCCCUAUGUCUUAUGACAAACACAGCAAGAGAACCAACUAAUCCAAAAAUUGCUCCUGACGCACCCACAGCAGGUGCUUUACAAAACCAAUAGCUCGUUGCUGAACCUGAAUUUUUUGGAAGAAUUUCGUUAGAAUACUAGUGAGUAAGAAUUUUAUUUUUCUAUUGCAAUGGGUUUAUGAAUGGUUACUUGCAAUUGCAGAGGUAAAGUAAAUUGCAAGAAAUCUCCUUGGACCGCUAAGGUUCUCAACGGUAGGACCAAUAGAAUUCAAAGAAUAACUAUUAAUCAUGAGGUGCCCAAUAUUCGCAUGCAAAAGGGAAGAGGUGGCCAGCCUCCAAAGUUGUCCCUUGUCGAUGAGACUAUUAAUCUUAGCUCCCCACAAUAACAGCUUUCCCUGUGUAGCCAUUUGUGCAACAUAAACUAAGACGUUAAUAGCAAGAAGAACAUUCGUCAAUUUCCUUCCAUCAAUUGAAUUUCUUCUGGAUGUCCCAGAAUGCGACGUU
rnacentral:misc_RNA from 1 species